rnacentral:lncRNA from 1 species
UCUACACCUACCAGUUCCUUCUCUUCUCCCCUCCUUCCCAACCAGAUCCACUCCGUCUCUGUCUCUCAUUAGACCAGAACAGGCUUCUAAGAGAUAACAGCAAGCACAACAUGAUAAAAUAUAGUAAGAUAAAACAAAAACCAUCACAUCGAAGUUGGACGAGGCAAGCCAACCGAAGGAAGAGAGCAGGCACAAGCAUCAGAGACCUGCUGUGCACACACUCAGGAGUCCCAUAGACACUAAACUGAAACCACAGUACAUACACAGAGGACCUGGUGCAGACCCGGGCAGGCCUUGUGCGUGCAGCUUCAGUCUCUGUGAGCUCACACGAGCUUUGCUCAGUUGAUCUAGAGGGCCUUGUUCUCCUGGUGUCCUCCCCCCUCUGGCUCACACACUUCCUCUUCUGUGGGGUUCCAGACAGGGACAACUUCUCAAAGUGCUCCUGAGGCCACAGAGAAUAGGACGUGAGAGUGCCUUUACCCUAGAGAGUCAUAAGGAAGGAGUCAGAGGUUAUAAAGCCGCCUGGCUGCUUUUGCAGUAGAUGCAGAAACAGAGUUUAACGUGCUUUAUUUUUAUUUUAUGUUUGUUGUAUGUGAAUGCCUGUUUGGCCUGCCUGUAUGACUUUCAGGCCUGAAGUUACAGAUAGUUCUGAGUUGCCAUGUGGGUGCUCAGAAUUGAACCAGGUCCUUUGGAAAAACAGCCACUGAGCCAACUCUCUAGCCCGAGUUCAACCUUUUAAUAUCAAUUCUACUUUGUAAAAUGGCAGAGUGCUUAAAAUGUUCUUUUUAUUAUCCCUCUUAAAAAAAGAUCUUAACAAGACUACAAAUAGUACUCUUGAAUGGCAUUUAUUUUGUCUUUUUGUGUGUGUGUGUGAGAAAUAAAUAUCCUGUUGUCUAAACUAGUAUUCCAAAAGGAGCCAGGAAAUCAAAACCGAAGGAAAAUGGCCAAUGUAAGGCAAGGAUGACUGCUUCCUUUCCUUGUUCAAACCUCAAGUUUGUGGUGUUCCGAAUGACAUUGAAAAGUAAUAAAUACAGGUUCCUAAGAGCAUCCAACUUUGCCUCCUCCUUCUACUUCCCAUGGAUUGAGGCAGGAAUAGAUUCUUCUUCAGCAGAUGUUGUAGCUCCCAGUGCACCAUCAUGACGCACAGUGAAGAUCAUAGAUGCUAGAGAUGGAGAUGCUUGUGAGCGAUGUCAUUGAGGUUUCCCAAUAGCUGCCGUCGUAACAGACACUCUGCGUGGGGACUAUUGUUCAAUAAGCAUUGAUUUGACUGUCAAACUAUAGCCUGGAUGCAUCCCAGUGUUUUAUUAGAGGUGUCUUUUAGAGGGAACCCAUCACUAAUUAGCAUACAUCAUCACAGUUUUUGUCGUUAUAUUUUAUUUAUACAUAGAGUGUAAUUUUGUUGUUGUUGUUGCUGUUUUGGUUUUUCAAAUUAAACCUAAGCAUAGCCUGAAAAGAUUUCCUGGUUUUAGACUUAAUUAUGAAACCCAGUAGUGUAGAAGAAAUGUGUAGCAAAAUCUCUGCUAAUAUACUGGUUAACGUGUCCAGUUUUUACUCUUUAGACACGUGCAAUGUUUUAUUGCAAAAUGGCUGUCAUUCACAAAGCUUUGAGAAGGGCAUUAAGAAAUUACUUGCAGUUAAUGUCCUCUAACUGCCUCAGUCUCUGGCCAAAGACUUGAUUCUGCUUGAUGUUUGCACACUGGCUUGCAAGUAAAUGAGGCCAGGAGCCAGGGUUGUUCUACUGGAUUUCCCUGGCUUUUAUUGGGCAUAGGGAAGCUUGCAAGAUCUGAUUGUCUGCAUUUGGCCUGCACUUGGCCUUGGCUGCUCAGUCUUAGAAAAACCUUCCAACUGCUUAGCAUAUAGGGUAGUCCUCUCUCCAGGCCUUCACUUUGUAGGCUGAGGUCUAAGUUCCCUUUGGACACAGCAAACAGGGACGUCCUCAGGAAGCUCUGGGAGAAAAACAACUAAGCCAACAGUUUUCCUGUACUCUCACAUUUUAAAAUAUGGAAUGGAAUUGUAGUGAGCUGCCAUAACUGGGAGUCUCUGAGAGCAAUAAUGGGGGAGAGGAGUGUGCUAGUCCCUGAAACACUCUGUGAGUGGGAAGAAAGCCGGAAGCUCUGGCAGGUGGAAUGAAGUGAAGUUGCGGGGAAAACUUAAAGCACAGGUUUCUGUGGAAAGCCAGAGGGAGAUCCAGGACAGAAGUUCUGCAAGCAGGUGGGACACAGUGCCCUAGGAAUGCCACCACAGGCCUCGGGGACACGCACAGAUCCUUAUAUUGAUCUGAAUCCUUGAAAACUGUGUGAGAAUUGUAUGUGUAAGGGAGACGUGCGUGCAAUCAGAAUGGACAGGUGAGUAUAUCCUGAAAAGAAGGACUUAGCAAACACUUCCGUUUUCUAAUGGGCUUUGGAGCUUGUGAGGGGAAACAAAGAAUCCUAACCUGUUACCCAGAAUGAAUUCCAACUUCUAAAUACCACCGAGUAUUUCAGUUAAGUGUGAGGAGCUGAUCAAGACUCUACAGAGCUUCAAGACUCCGUGUUCUCAGCGAGUGUGAGCAGAGUGGGGAUUUUUGAUAAAUCUGACACUAGUUUCCUGCUGAUCAGCAUACAGGAUUGUUGCCACAUACAUGGGAAUGCUAAUUCCAGACACAGUAGAUCUCUGGCUCUCCUUCUGGUGCUAGCUAAUGCUAGUCACUUGAAUCAAGUCUUUCUCAUCUGAGCUGCCAGUAAUUAUCCAAUCCGUCCAGGAGGCACACUCCCUUUUAACAUUAACCACAGUGUCAGAUUUCAUCAGCCACAUUGUGUCCCAGUGACUUCUGCUGCAUGGAGAUAAAUGUGCACAUUUGGAAUUCGUAGUCUGUCUGUUUGGGCAGUGGGCAGUUCAGGAAACGAACGAUCAGGAAGGGAUCUAUUUAUUUGUGCUGUAUAUUCGCCUAAUUGAUCCAGUCACAUGCCGGGAUUCCUGCCUUGGUACUAAUAGUGCUUGGUUUAUUUGAAGAACGAGAACUGAACAAAUGAUCUGAGGAGUCCUUUUGAGGGGUUUCUCUCCUCCUAACCUGCACUCAGCAUGGCUGCACUCCCUGAGUUUGCCUGC